AAGGUAUGGUGAAAGUGUUGCUUGAACCAAGAUUGUGUUGUUUGGAUCCAUAGGUAGGUGUGUCUGAACCAAAGAGUGUGUGUGGAGUUAACCAAUAGAUGAUGUGGCUAAUGGAAGGUUGUAGGAUUUUUCCUAGAUCGAAGGAUCAAGGCCUACAAGAAGGGGUUUUCUAGAGCAUGAAGCUCCACACGAAAAUGUAUGGAGGUUUUCUAGAGCAUGAGGCUCCACAGGGCAAUGUAUGAAAUUUGUCAGAGCAUGAGACUCCACAUGGAAAAAUAAAAGAAAAGGGUUUUCCAGAGCAUGAGGGUCCAAAGGAAAAAAUAAAAUAAAAGAGUUUGCCGGAGCAUAAGGAUCCACAUGGCAAUGCAUGAGGUUUCCAACACCCUCAUUCACCUUUUCAACAUUUUGAACAUCUCUUAAUCUCUCUCAAUUAUUUCUCCCCCGCCGGAAAUCGAUCCGCCGUGCCGGAGGUGGCGGAGCUGAUCAUAAGUGGCAAAAAAUAACCUUACCUGAACCCUCUCACUCUAUCCUUUCCACUCCUCCCGUGUGUUUCAUCCAAAACUCCUUUAAUUUCUCAAAAUUAAACCAAACAGCCAAGAACCCUAACUUACCAAAAUAGAAAUUAAAUGCACAUGGAGGGGAAUCAAGCCACGCAACCUUGGGGAUUUGAUUCCCCUCAUCAAGAGAUACAUGUUGGUAACUCAAAUGGAGAGAAGGAGUGGAGUUUGGAGGGCUUACCUACAAGGUGGAGGAUGCCUUGGAGAUUGUUGAGGCACCUGAAGUUGAGGACGAAGAUGAAAAUACUAGAGAAAAUAUGAUCAAGGUUUAAGCAUGUUUUAUGCACGUGCCAAACAAAUUUGAAGAAAAAAAGAAAAUUGGAAGUGAAUCAUGAUGAAGAUGCUGAAUUGAAAAGAGAUAGGUCUAGGAGUAGAUUUUAGGUCAAAGGUCAAAGUUUGGUCAACUAUUGGUCCAACAUUGAGUUUUCAUGUAUAUCCAUUUCUGACCUUAUUUGUAUUGUAUUAUGAACUUGAAUGUAGUUGUUCCUUGACU